rnacentral:rRNA from 1 species
UACGUGAGGGGGCAAGCGUUGUCCGGAAUCAUUGGGCGUAAAGAGCGUGUAGGCGGCCCGGUAAGUCCGCUGUGAAAGCCCCGGGCUCAACCUGGGAAUUGCAUUCGAGACUGAAUAGCUAGGGUGCGGUAGAGGGAAGCGGAAUUUCCGGUGUAGCGGUGAAAUGCGUAGAUAUCGGAAGGAACAUCAGUGGCGAAAGCGGCUUCCUGGACCAGCACCGACGUUCAGGCACGAAAGCGUGGGGAGCAAACAGG